rnacentral:tRNA from 1 species
GUCCAGGCAUGGGAAUCGAACCCACUGUGUUCCGCUUACCGGGCAGAUGCCAUGUCCACUAGGCUACCCUGGA